rnacentral:tRNA from 1 species
GGGGUUUGACUCAGUGGUAUAGAGCGCUUGCCUAGCAUGUGUGAGGCACUGGAUUCGAUUCUCAGAACCCACA